UAACGAAUAUUCCACAAUGGGCGCAAGCCUGAUGGAGCGAUGCCGCGUGCAGGAUGAAGCCCUUCGGGGUGUAAACUGCUGUCAGGGGUAAGCAACUCAAUGAGCUAUCCCAGAGGAAGAGGCGACUAACUCUGUGCCAGCAGUCGCGGUAAUACAGAGGCCUCGAGCGUUAAUCGGAAUCACUGGGCUUAAAGGGUGCGUAGGCUGAUUCGUAAGUGCCUUGUGAAAUCCCAUGGCUCAACCAUGGAACUGCUCGGCAGACUGCGAGUCUUGAGGUCGGUAGAGGUUGCUGGAACUGUAGGUGGAGCGGUGAAAUGCGUAGAUAUCUACAGGAACGCCAAAGGUGAAGACAGGCAACUGGGCCGAUUCUGACGCUGAUGCACGAAAGCGUGGGGAGCAAACGGG
rnacentral:rRNA from 1 species